GGGCGCUUAGCUCAGUUGGUUAGAGCGUCUGCCUUACAAGCAGAAGGUCGCUGGUUCGAAUCCAGCAGUGCCCA
rnacentral:tRNA from 1 species